CCUACGGGAGGCAGCAGUGAGGAAUAUUGGUCAAUGGGCGGAAGCCUGAACCAGCCAAGUCGCGUGAGGGAGUAAGGCCCUACGGGUCGUAAACCUCUUUUGCCGGGGAGCAGUGCCCAGCUCGUGAGCUGGGAGGGAGCGUACCCGGAGAAAAAGCAUCGGCUAACUCCGUGCCAGCAGCCGCGGUAAUACGGAGGAUGCGAGCGUUAUCCGGAUUUAGUGGGUUUAAAGGGUGCGCAGGCGGAAUGUCAAGUCAGCGGUAAAAUUUCGGGGCUCAACCCCGUCGUGCCGUUGAAACUGGCGUUCUUGAGUGAGCGAGAAGUAUGCGGAAUGCGUGGUGUAGCGGUGAAAUGCAUAGAUAUCACGCAGAACUCCGAUUGCGAAGGCAGCAUACCGGCGCUCAACUGACGCUCAUGCACGAAAGCGUGGGUAUCGAACAGGAUUAGAUACCCCUGUAGUC
rnacentral:rRNA from 1 species